rnacentral:rRNA from 1 species
AACACAAAUCUCGACAAGGGAUAUCUCGACUCUCGCCAUGAUGAAGAAUGUAGUGAAAUAUGAUACUGAGUGUGACUUGUAGAAUCCCAUGAAUCAUCGAGUCUUUGAACAUAAGUUACACUUAAGGCUCCAGCUGAGGGCACGUCUACGUGGGCGUCAUAG